AGAGUUUGAUCCUGGCUCAGAUUGAACGCUGGCGGCAGGCUUAACACAUGCAAGUCGAGCGGGGAAGGUUGCUUCGGUAACUAACCUAGCGGCGGACGGGUGAGUAAUGCUUAGGAAUCUGCCUAUUAGUGGGGGACAACGUUCCGAAAGGAACGCUAAUACCGCAUACGCCCUACGGGGGAAAGCAGGGGAUCUUCGGACCUUGCGCUAAUAGAUGAGCCUAAGUCGGAUUAGCUAGUUGGUGGGGUAAAGGCCUACCAAGGCGACGAUCUGUAGCGGGUCUGAGAGGAUGAUCCGCCACACUGGGACUGAGACACGGCCCAGACUCCUACGGGAGGCAGCAGUGGGGAAUAUUGGACAAUGGGCGGAAGCCUGAUCCAGCCAUGCCGCGUGUGUGAAGAAGGCCUUUUGGUUGUAAAGCACUUUAAGCGAGGAGGAGGCUCCUUUAGUUAAUACCUAAAGUGAGUGGACGUUACUCGCAGAAUAAGCACCGGCUAACUCUGUGCCAGCAGCCGCGGUAAUACAGAGGGUGCGAGCGUUAAUCGGAUUUACUGGGCGUAAAGCGUGCGUAGGCGGCUUUUUAAGUCGGAUGUGAAAUCCCUGAGCUUAACUUAGGAAUUGCAUUCGAUACUGGAAAGCUAGAGUAUGGGAGAGGAUGGUAGAAUUCCAGGUGUAGCGGUGAAAUGCGUAGAGAUCUGGAGGAAUACCGAUGGCGAAGGCAGCCAUCUGGCCUAAUACUGACGCUGAGGUACGAAAGCAUGGGGAGCAAACAGGAUUAGAUACCCUGGUAGUCC
rnacentral:rRNA from 1 species